UACGGGGGGGGCAAGCGUUGUUCGGAAUUACUGGGCGUAAAGGGCUCGUAGGCGGCCAACUAAGUCAGACGUGAAAUCCCCAGGCUCAACCUGGGAACUGCGUCUGAUACUGGAUGGCUUGAAUCCGGGAGAGGGAUGCAGAAUUCCAGGUGUAGCGGUGAAAUGCGUAGAUAUCUGGAGGAAUACCGGUGGCGAAGGCGGCAUCCUGGACCGGAAUUGACGCUGAGGAGCGAAAGCAAGGGGAGCAAACGGG
rnacentral:rRNA from 1 species